AGCGAACGCUGGCGGCAGGCUUAACACAUGCAAGUCGAGCGGGCGUAGCAAUACGUCAGCGGCAGACGGGUGAGUAACGCGUGGGAACGUACCUUUUGGUUCGGAACAACACAGGGAAACUUGUGCUAAUACCGGAUAAGCCCUUACGGGGAAAGAUUUAUCGCCGAAAGAUCGGCCCGCGUCUGAUUAGCUAGUUGGUGAGGUAAUGGCUCACCAAGGCGACGAUCAGUAGCUGGUCUGAGAGGAUGAUCAGCCACAUUGGGACUGAGACACGGCCCAAACUCCUACGGGAGGCAGCAGUGGGGAAUAUUGGACAAUGGGCGCAAGCCUGAUCCAGCCAUGCCGCGUGAGUGAUGAAGGCCCUAGGGUUGUAAAGCUCUUUUGUGCGGGAAGAUAAUGACGGUACCACAAGAAUAAGCCCCGGCUAACUUCGUGCCAGCAGCCGCCGUAAGAC
rnacentral:rRNA from 1 species